CGUAGGUGAACCUGCGGAAGGAUCAUUAUAGUAUUCUAUUGCCUGCGCUUAAAUGCGCGGCGAUAAACCUUUACACACAUUGUCUAGUUUUUUUUGAAACUUUGCUUUGGGUGGAUUUGUAAAAAGAAACUGCCCAGAGGUUUAUUAUUAAACACAUUAUUUUUCUAAAGUUUUUAACCUUUAAAAUUAUAGUCAUGAAAAAUUUUAACAAAAAUAAAAACUUCAAAACUUUCAACAACGGAUCUCUUGGUUCUCGCAACGAUGAAGAACGCAGCGAAAAGCGAUAAGUAUUGUGAAAUGCAGAUUUUCGUGAAACAUCGAAACUUUGAACGCACAUUGCGCCCUCUGGUAUUCCAGAGGGCAUGCCUGUUUGAGCGUCAUUUCUCUCUCAAAACUUUGGUUUUGGUAUUGAGUGAUACUCUGUCAAGGGUUAACUUGAAAAAUUGAAAUAGCAAGAGUGUACUUUGAUAGAACGUCUUCUGAAAAAAAGUAUUAGGUUCUUCCAACUCGUUAUAUCAGUAAGAUUGGGCUUCAAGUAUUUUUUAGGCUCGGCUUAACAACAAAAACAUAAAGUUUGACCUCAAAACAGGUAGGACUACCCCCUGAACUUAAGCAUAUCAAAA
rnacentral:rRNA from 1 species